UACGAAGGGGGCUAGCGUUGCUCGGAAUCACUGGGCGUAAAGCGCACGUAGGCGGCUUGUUAGGUCAGGGGUGAAAUCCUGGAGCUCAACUCCAGAACUGCCUUUGAUACUGGCGAGCUUGAGUCCGGGAGAGGUGAGUGGAACUGCGAGUGUAGAGGUGAAAUUCGUAGAUAUUCGCAAGAACACCAGUGGCGAAGGCGGCUCACUGGCCCGGUACUGACGCUGAGGUGCGAAAGCGUGGGGAGCAAACAGG
rnacentral:rRNA from 1 species